GAUGAACGCUGGCGGCGUGCUUAACACAUGCAAGUCGAACGAUGAAGCCCAGCCUGCUGGGCGGAUUAGUGGCGAACGGGUGAGUAACACGUGAGUAACCUGCCCUUGACUCUGGGAUAAGCCCGGGAAACUGGGUCUAAUACCGGAUAGGAGCGCCUGUCGCAUGACGGGUGCUGGAAAGAUUUUUCGGUCAUGGAUGGACUCGCGGCCUAUCAGCUUGUUGGUGAGGUAACGGCUCACCAAGGCGACGACGGGUAGCCGGCCUGAGAGGGUGACCGGCCACACUGGGACUGAGACACGGCCCAGACUCCUAUGGGAGGCAGCAGUGGGGAAUAUUGCACAAUGGGCGGAAGCCUGAUGCAGCGACGCCGCGUGAGGGAUGACGGCCUUCGGGUUGUAAACCUCUUUCAGUA
rnacentral:rRNA from 1 species